rnacentral:rRNA from 1 species
GAUGAACGCUGGCGGCGUGCUUAACACAUGCAAGUCGAACGGUGAAGCCAAGCUUGCUUGGUGGAUCAGUGGCGAACGGGUGAGUAACACGUGAGCAACCUGCCCUGGACUCUGGGAUAAGCGCUGGAAACGGUGUCUAAUACUGGAUAUGAAUCGCGGCCGCAUGGUCAGUGGUUGGAAAGAUUUUUCGGUCUGGGAUGGGCUCGCGGCCUAUCAGCUUGUUGGUGAGGUAAUGGCUCACCAAGGCGUCGACGGGUAGCCGGCCUGAGAGGGUGACCGGCCACACUGGGACUGAGACACGGCCCAGACUCCUACGGGAGGCAGCAGUGGGGAAUAUUGCACAAUGGGCGGAAGCCUGAUGCAGCAACGCCGCGUGAGGGAUGACGGCCUUCGGGUUGUAAACCUCUUUUAGCAAGGAAGAAGCGGAAGUGACGGUACUUGCAGAAAAAGCGCCGGCUAACUACGUGCCAGCAGCCGCCGUAACAC